AAUAAUAACAGCUUUAUUUUUUCCUUUCCAAUCCUUAUAGUUCCUACUUCCUUCUCCUUUACCGAACUCCCUUUGACCCCAGGUUCAUUUUUGAUACAAAUGGAGCUCCUAGGCAACUUUGUUUUCUCUGCAACUUGAGGGAAAAGCAUCCAACGUUUCACAUUUGAAUGUACUGUUUGGUGUAGGUUUUGUACAUAUUCUGUAUCAGAGCCCUCCUAUGUACCAUCUGGAUUCUUUGCCUCAGAUGUCCUGUUGGAGCUGUUGCCUCUAGAAGCAUCUUUCCAUGGACUCUGAUCACCAUCGUGUGUGCCUGGACAGCACCUCCUUUGUGCCCAUGCUGUGUGAUUCUUCCCCCAUGCCCAGAGGCUUUCCUGCUAAUGCUGAAGUGGCAGACAAUGGGGGUCCCCACUGGGUGCAUCCCCAGGGCCACGCUUUGACAGUGGACAUGGGAGCCAGUUGAUCAGAUCUCAUCCCCCCCUUCUCCCCUCCUAGACAGAUUGUGCUGAGAAACAGAUGGUCUCACAGGACCGUGCACAUUAAGGCAAUGGCCAGCUGGCAUCCUCCUAAUGGCCAUCCUCCUAAUGGCUCUCCCACUUCCCUGUCUCAUUCCCUCUUCUCCAAACUCUAGCUCUUUGGGAUUGUCUCAGGCUCUGCUGUCUGGGAGACUCGGAGAGAGUUGAGAACAGGUGUGACCUCAGAAAACAGACAGAAUGUCAGAGCUGGAUCACAGACCAACUGAAGUCUUAAGGACCCCACUAUUUGUGACAAGGGAGUGAUCACACCUGGCAUGCAAUGGCAUCACCAUUGACGCUCUCUGCCUGUGGUUAAUUUGGAUAAGGUGUAAGAUGGGGAGGGGAAAGUGAGGCAUUUGUUGAUGCAGUGGCUGGGGGACUUGGACGCUUAGGGGCAAUGAUUAGCACAGGCUGUGGAUCGUGCUGGCUUUCGGUAAUGGCAUGGGGAGCCUUAAAAAAGUUAACUCAGGGCAAGCAGCUGGCUGUCAACUCCAGGCAUGCUCUGAAAGUGACAAGCGAGAGACUUAGCCUCUUCAAGUACAGGGAACUCUUGGGAAAAUCACUUCUGUCAAAUUUUGUUUCAUGUAUCUGGGAGCUGUGUUAUGAAGCACACUCAAGACUGUUAUAUAUUUUUUUUCUGUUUUCUUUUUUUCAUUAAAAAAAUUCUUUUAAUGUUUAUUUUUGAAAGAGAGAGAGACAGAGUGCAAGCAGGGGAGGGGCAGAGGUAGAGGGAGACACAGAAUCCGAAGCAGGUUCCAGGCUCCGAGCUGUCAGCGCAGAGCCCGACUCAGGGCUGGAACCCAGGAGCCGUGAGAUCACGCCGAAGUCAGCCGCCUAACCGACUGUGCCACCCAAGUGCCCCAGAUUGUUAUGUUUUCUUGAUGAACUGACCUCUUACUGGAAUGAAAUGCCCUGCUUGACUUCUUGUCUCCCUGGCUAUCUGAAAGUAGAACAUUCCUAUGAAAACUUUCAAAUAAUGAAAUUGGACAAAGUGGAUUCACUGUGGAAGUUUCUGAAAACGUGCCUCAGUUUCCUCACUGUAACUGGGAAAUGUCUGCAGAGAUGAGGAUUGAAACAAGAGCACGGUUUUAUUUGGCCACUUCUAUUUUAUUUUAUUAAACGAAUUUUUUUGAGUAGGUUCCAUGCCCCAUGUGGGGCUUGAACUCAUGACCCUGAGAUCAAAGUUCGCAUGCUCUGACUGAGCCAGCCAGGUGCCCCUAUUUGGUCACUUCUUAUCUCCCCUUGCACAGAGCUGAAUACCAUCCACUCAUGAUUCUAGGCAGACAGCACGGGGUAAGGACAACCAAUUAUUUACUUACAAUUGUGUCAUUAGCACUUCCAAAACACUGGUGACCAUCCUCAAGUCUUUCAUAGCUCAGCCUAGAUUUGUGGCUUUUUAAGAAUCAGUUUGCUUUCUUUCUUUUUUUACCCCAUCGUUUGUUGAUAGAUAAGCUUGAAAACACCCCUUUUUUAAGAAUCAGUUUUCUUUCUUUCUUUUUUUACCCCAUUGUUUGUUGAUAGAUAAGCUUGAAAACACCCCCUUCCUCGGAGCUUGAUUGGCAAGUGUCAAAUCCGCAAGCUUUGGCAGCUCUGUGCUAUGUGGCUGUGUGGCAGCUACGUUAAGGAGGAGUGAAGGAGGACACGGGUUGGUCUGUGGCCAGAGGGAAAAGAGAAACCCAUAUAACCAGGAUGAACAGACGAGUAGAAGGUGUGCGUAGUAGUUCCCUGGGGCUGCCCUAACAAAUCGCUGCAAACCUGGUAGCUUAAAACAACAGAAAUUUAUUUUCUCACAGUUGUGGAGGUUAGAAGCCUGAAAUCAAGACGUUAGGGCCAUGCUUCCUCUGAAGGCUCUAGGGGCGGGUCCUUCCUUGCGUUGUUUUCUGGCUUCGGGUGGCUCUUGGCACUCGCUGGGUUUUCUUGCCUCGUGGACUUAACACUUCAAUAACUUCUACCUCUGUCGUCACAUGGCAUUCUCCCCUGUGUGUCUUCUCACCACUUCUCUCUAUGUGCCUUCUGCAUAUCUUCUUACACAGGCACCAGUCACUGCAUUGAAACUCCACCCUAACCCAGUGUGACCUCAUCUUAAUUUAACCAAUUGCAUCUGCCAAGACCCUAUUUACAGAUAAAGUCACUGAGCUUCCACGCAGACACAAAGUUUGGGGGACACUAUUCAACACAGUGUAGAGGGGGUGGUCUGAUGGCAUCUGGAAUGUGGAUUUGAAUGUGUUCUUUAGACCAAAUCACACUCUGGGACGCCUGGGGUGCUCAGUCAGUUAAGCGUCCCAUCUCAGCUCAGGUCAUGAUCUCACGGUUUCGUGAGUUCGAGCCCCACGUCGGGCUCUGUGCUGACAGCUCAGAGCCUGGAGCCUGCUUUGGAUUCUGUGUCUCCUUCUCUCUCCGCCCCUCCUCCGUUCACACUCUGUUUCUCUCUGUCUCUCAAAAAUGAAUAAGUGUUAAAAAAAGAAAAAAAAGACCACAUCACACUCCAAGCUUUGAGUGCUGUGAGACAGGCCCAUAUCCUUAUCAUUAGUUCUCAUUUGUGUGUAAGCCAGGUUCAAGUUGUGUGACUACUAAUGCAACCAAAAGAAUUUUUAAUAUAUACAAAAUAAAAAGCACCCUAUUAUUACGAUUCUAUUAGCUGCCACCGUAGGUCGUAGGUCAAGGAAUACGAUCUUUUUCUAUAUGCCCCAGUAUGGGUGGGUGCCAUAUUUAUCAACCAUGAAGGUAUUCUUCCCAGGGUAGCUUGAGGAAAGCAAACUGUUUUAUACAUUGUAGAAAAUGAGGCCCGGAGACACUUGACCAAGCAUACUUCUUGACCAAGCAUACUUAGUAUAUCAGGAGGGAGCCUGCACGGCCAACCUCAACUCAACUUCAUAGGAAGGUCAUAGGCAGGACAAGCCCAGGAGGUUGCUGGGCUCCAGUUCUCUGUUUCUCUGUGAGUCUUUGGACUCUAUGCCUCUCCAUAUGUCUGACCCACCCCUAGGCUAGAGACCAGGUAGCUGGCACAGGUCGAGACAUCAUAUUCAGUCACAAGGUCCUGAAGCAGGAAGAGGUUAUAUCUGGUUUAGGUCUCUUCUUAAGGGCAAGGAAAACAUUCCCAGGAGUCUGCCAGUAGACUUCCCUUUGUGUCCUGUUGGCCAGAAAGAUGACAGGUGCCCAUAUCUAAAUCCAUCACCAGCAAAGAUUUGGGAACCCAUGAUUGACUGAGACUUAUCUGGACUCGCCCCACAGCCUGGGCUUACAUGGAGUCCUCUAGAAGCACAAGGCUGAGUGAAGGAGGGCAGAUGCCUGUUCUGAAUUAAGAGGAAAGGAGGGUGGGCGAGAAAUGCGUGCCGAGUGGGCAACCAGAAGCGUCAGCUACACUUGGCAAGCUUAUGUUUCCAAAAUCCCAGAUGACUCCAGGGCUCUUUCCACCAGACUUUUUACAUCACUCCUAAACAGCCAUCCAUGUGUGGUCGGCAGAGUCUAGCACAAAGUGCCAGAAUGUAGCAUCCCACCAAUGUUCUAAUCUGCCUGCUGUGCCUCUGACGUCAGUAGCACAAAGGGCAAAAAUCAGUUCAGCUUUCCUGAUGGCUCCACAGCCCUGGAAGUGGCUCUUUAGAAGGUGGUUUUAAGGGACCCAUAAAAGAACAGAAAUACUUCACUGCUGUGAGCCCACAGACUGGGCUCCAAGGUGAUGCCAGCUAGCUUUCUUGGCUAGGGCCCUUCCGAUGCCCUCCGGGUGGGUCCCACAGCAAAGAAUCCUGUUCACUAAAUUUUCAGCUGGGAAAAGGGUGUGAGAGGGUGGUUCUGAGUAGGGCGGUUGGUUUAACCCCAUAAAAUCAUGUGUUAAACAAUUGCUACAUGCAAAGAUGCACCAAAUCUGUCUGUUCUUUGUGGCCUCCAUCCAAGGGCUGCAACCUCUCAGUGAGCCACCAACAUAGCACCCUAAGCCUUGUUCGGUGAACUUGUGGAAAGCCAUGGAGUCCUGGCAGCAGGAAGCGGUUCUCCUUUAAACCCAGUGCUUACAGGGGAAUCUCUGCUCAGGUUUUCUGUGAUCUGUAGGGCUGGGGCAGGGGUCUCUGAGCUGGGGCAGGGACAGUCACUUGGUGGAGGGUGGUCAGGGGUCAGAAAUUUGACCCAUGCCUCAUCCCAUCCUGGAACCUUCCUGUCACUCAGCAAAGGGGAAGGAAACUUUUCUGUUUGUUAUCUCAUGGACUCAUCAUAGCAGCCAACAGUGUGGGUGUUAGCACCCCCAAUUAACAUUUGGAGCCAAGGGUUCAGACAGGGUGAGAUGUAUACUCAGGUCACACAGCCAGUGAAUGAAUUCAGAGCCCAUCAAGAUCCUGAGGGAUUGGGGUGUGGAGACAGUCACGUGAUAGAAGACAAAGCUCAGGGAGACCUGGGAGGCUAUUUGGGAGGGCAGGCUGAGUCCCAGAUGUAGGGCAUAGCCUGGGGGCACAAGAGUUAGCAUCUGGCAGCACCUGGGGAGGAGGGAAUCGCAAGGGCCAGGAGGUGAACAGCCCGUUGCUAAAAAAAUACAUGGCACACCAAGGGUUCGGUUCUUCCCAAGGGAGCCCAGCUGGCUGGCAAGGGGGAACAGUUCUUGCAAAAAUAGGAAAGCACAGGGACUGCCGGGAGGUGGGCAAAGUGUUACUUGUGGUUACCUUCAGAUGUGGGCGUCCCCCAGGUGGGGAUUCCACAUGCAGAAGUUAGCCUGUGCAGCGGGGUUUGGAGCACAGGCCCCAUCCCUUCCCCCCAGUGGGAAGGACAGGGAGAGCGAGCGGGCAGGGACUUUGGGCCAGAGGGCUGGCUUCCCUGUUGUCUGAGACAAACAAAGGAACUCUGGGACCAAAUGGAAACUCAGUUCCUUUUCUGUCAGUGGCUGAGGGACACCUUUAAUUGUAAAAUUCAAGACCAGCCCUUGAUGGAAAUUGCAACAAGGCCAGGCCAUAUGGGAACGUUUCGAUGGAAAUGAGCAUCUGUUCUCUAUAAGAAAUGCAAAUGAUGCUUAAUUGUGCCUUCAGAGGGAUCUGUCUCUGUCCCCAGCAGGGGGCCCAUAGGUGGGGUAAUCUGACCGCGGUUCAAAGUCCCCAGCCCUCUCCCCACAAGACAGAGGUAGCCAAGAAAGCACAUCAGAAGUUUCCUACUUGGAGUGACCCCAGACCAGCCAGUGGCCUCCGGUGAUGUUCCCUCCAGGAACAUCUGUACAGAAGGGGACUCGUGCAUACUAAAUCCCUACGGUGUUCCAGGUUUCACUUGAUGUGGGCAUCCUCCCCCCCCCCCCCCCAUGCCGUGGGAUCCCCUGCUUUACAGAUAAGGAAACAAAACUCAGAAAAAAAAACAUGCUGUUUGUCUGGUGUGUCAGAUAGCGUAUGGUGGGACAGAUUCACAGCCAGGACCGACAGUUUGAAGAGCCCCACAGACUUCUUCUAACAUUGACUGAAUGCCUAGGUCAUGUCUUUAGCAAACCUUCUCUUACUCUGUCUGGCUAUCUCUCCACUCCCCUCUGAAGGGCUGAAUAAAGGGGGCCUGCACAGGAAAGGGUUAUUCCUUCAUAAUUCACAUGUCACUUCCAGAAACACUACAGAUGUCUUACAACAAAAAGCACUUAUAAUAGGACUGGUAAAAUGAAAAGAGAAAACUGGAGCCCGCAGCCCCUCCCUGCAGGGUGCUGAGGAGUGAAGUUUCUACACCAUCAUCUCAAUCAUCAUCAGCAGCAGAUUUGAUGGUGCUGUGAUCAGGGAUGCUUGCUGUAGUUCACGGCUUCUGUAAGGCCCCUGAGCACAGGUCCUGGGCUCCAGGACUUUGCUUCCGGUGUAGGAGGGAAGUCAUUUUCUCCUCUGUGCUCCCCUUCUCAUCUGUAAAGUGGGAUGAUAGCUCCUCAUGGGUUGUUAUGAGAGUUAACGCAUUCACGCUUUUAGAAUGGCACCUGGCCCAUACUAAGUGCUUAAGAGAUGCUAGCUGUUACUACUUUUCCAGAUCUCACUGUGAACCCUGCAUUGGUUUGAGAACUCCCCGGAGGUGCUGGGUUGAGGUGUGGUUGCUGCCCUUGCUUCUGCGACCAGAGCCACGACAGGCUUUUUACCUUUUCCAGACCUCAGGCUGCCUACAAGAUCUUUGAAAAACUGCCUUAGAUUAUAGGGGCCAUUUUACCUCUGAGCUCCCAGAGGAGCAGGGAAUAUUUCUUGCUAAUGCCGUGUUACGGGCUGAAUUGUAUCCCCCGCAAACUCAUGUGUUGAACCUCUAAAGCCCGGUACCUCAGAAUGUAGCCGUAUUUGAGAAUGAGGUCUUAAAAGAGGUGAUAAAGUUGCAAUGGGGCUAUUAGGGUGGCCCUUAAUCCAAUAUGGCUGUGUCCUUAUAAGAAGAGGAAGAGACACAAGGGACCAUCCUGCACGGAAGUAAUCAUGUGGGGAGACAGCAGGGAGGUGGCCGUCUGCCAGCCAAGGAUAAGAGCCUCAGAGGAAACCAACCCUCCGGCACUUUGAUUUUGGACUUCCGGCUUCCAGAACCAUGAGAAGUAAAUGUUUAAGCCAGCCAGUCUGUGGCAUUUCAUUUUUGCAGCCCAAGCCACGGCAGACUGUGUUCCCGGUGCCUAGCGGGGAGUGGAUGCUAAUAAAUGCAUGCUGAAUUGGCUGAA